CCUACGGGAGGCAGCAGUGGGGAAUAUUGGACAAUGGGCGAAAGCCUGAUCCAGCCAUGCCGCGUGUGUGAAGAAGGCCUUCGGGUUGUAAAGCACUUUCAGUGGGGAAGAAAGCCUUGGGGCUAAUACCCUCGAGGAAGGACAUCACCCACAGAAGAAGCACCGGCUAACUCCGUGCCAGCAGCCGCGGUAAUACGGAGGGUGCGAGCGUUAAUCGGAAUUACUGGGCGUAAAGCGCGCGUAGGCGGUCUGAUAAGCCGGUUGUGAAAGCCCCGGGCUCAACCUGGGAACGGCAUCCGGAACUGUCAGGCUAGAGUGCAGGAGAGGAAGGUAGAAUUCCCGGUGUAGCGGUGGAAUGCGUAGAGAUCGGGAGGAAUACCAGUGGCGAAGGCGGCCUUCUGGACUGACACUGACGCUGAGGUGCGAAAGCGUGGGUAGCAAACAGGAUUAGAUACCCCAGUAGUC
rnacentral:rRNA from 1 species